AAUAUGGUCGGCACCUCUUUAACGGAAGAAUAAAAACAGAAAACUCAAAGAAAACCAUAGGAAAAUUGGAAAAAAAAAGAGAAGAAAAAAGAACAGACAACACCUCUCCUCCUUAACAAAACUCUUUGAAUCAUUAGAAAGCUUGUGAAGGGAGAAAAGGAGACCAAGGCAACAAAUCAACAUCCCAAUCAAUUGAGGAUCUGGUUGAUAUCAAGGGGACUAAUAUUUUUGGAUAAUCGUGUUCACUAGAGGCCUCCUAUCACAUGCUCAACAAAAAAGAGAGCCAAAUCAAACAGAAUUGAUACAGUAUCAAGAAUAAAUAUGGGCAACAAGGAUUUUGAAAGACCCCCUCAACUUUCAGGUUUUUGCAGAAAACCCCUUCAAGUAUUUUAAUUCCAAGGAACCUUGCUGAACUCUUAAGGGGUUUUGCACAUAACUUCCCUGAGCUUCUUUUGUUGCCUAAACCCCUUGUAGAUUUUUCACUUUUAACUCUCUAAAGUGACACCUAAGUCUCAUGUAUCACGUGCAUUGGAAUGAUAAAUAAGCACAAGAAUACCCCUCAACUGAGGCAGGGGGUUUUCUGAAAUUAACCCUAAGAUGGAGGGGGCAAUGCUUUUACAAAAAAAAAAAAAAAA